rnacentral:lncRNA from 1 species
CCAGCUCAGGCUAGGAGCUUGCAUCCUGUUGCCCCAACCCAGUCCUUCAGAACAGAGUGUACUCAAAGCUCCAGGACAAAAAUCUGGAAGCAGAGAGCCGGCUUGCAUUUGGACUGAGGCUGAGUGAUGAAAAGAGCAGACAGAGAAAACAACAAGUUCAAAGUUCCUGAGAUUGGUGCCUGGCCCAGUUGUCUCCAGAGAGGUGCCAUCCAGCAACUGAUGGAGAAGGAUGCAGAGACCCACAGCCAAACACUGGGCCAAGCUCGGAAAUCCUUUGGAAGAGAAAAAGGAGUGUAGGAGCCAGAGAGGUCAAGGACACCACAGGAAGGCUCACAUAAUCAAGUAACCUGGGCUCAUAGGGGCUCUCAGAGACUGAAUGGACAACCAGGGAGCCUCCAUGGGACUGAUCUAGAAAUGAAGAACGGAGGAAUAAUACAUCUGUAUGACCUGAGAAACUGUCCCAGGCUAGGCAUGGUGGUGCACACCUUUGAUCCCUGAACCCUGAAGGUGGAAAACAAGGAUCUCUGGCGACCCACCGGAGGGAGCUGCUGGAGGCUUAUGAGAAACAUAGAUUCUCAAGCCUUAUCCCAGGCUUCAUGAAUCAGAACCUUCCCUUGAAGAAGCUCCUGGUCAUCCGUGUGUUCCUAUCUUUGAACAGACACUGCCCUGAGCACCAAAUGAGUGGCUGUCAAUUUGGAGCCUGCAUAAGGACUUCUCACCCCGCCCCAUCCUCUGGAGGCAGGCUGCUGGCAACUGUGGCUGGCACAUCUGGUGCUCCUCUCUGCCUACCUUGAUGACUCAGACAAAUGACUGAGUCAGAUAGUUUGUCUCUCCAGCC